rnacentral:rRNA from 1 species
UACGUAGGGUGCAAGCGUUAAUCGGAAUUACUGGGCUGUGAAAGCGUGCGCAGGCGGUGAUGUAAGACAGAUGUGAAAUCCCCGGGCUCAACCCUGGGAACUGCAUUUGUGACUGCAUAGCUAGAGUACGGUAGAGGGGGAUGGAAUUCCGCGUGUAGCAGUGAAAUGCGUAGAUAUGCGGAGGAACACCGAUGGCGAAGGCAAUCCCCUGGACCUGUACUGACGCUUAUGCACGAAAGGCGUGGGGAGCAAACAGG